rnacentral:rRNA from 1 species
GGCGGACGAGCUAUACAUGCAGUCGAGCGAAUGGAUUCAGAGCUUGCUCUUAUGAAGUUAGCGGCGGACGGGUGAGUAACACGUGGGUAACCUGCCCAUAAGACUGGGAUAACUCCGGGAAACCGGGGCUAAUACCGGAUAACAUUUUGAACCGCAUGGUUCGAAAUUGAAAGGCGGCUUCGGCUGGCACUUAUGGAUGGACCCGCGUCGCAUUAGCUAGUUGGGGAGGUAACGGCUCACCAGGGCAACGAUGCGUAGCCGACCUGAGAGGGUGAUCGGCCACACUGGGACUGAGACACGGCCCAGACUCCUACGGGAGGCAGCAGUAGGGAAUCUUCCGCAAUGGACGAAAGUCUGACGGAGCAGCGCCGCGUGAGUGAUGAAGGCUUUCGGGUCGUAAAACUCUGUUGUUAGGGAAGAACAAGUGCUAGUUGAAUAAGCUGGCACCUUGACGGUACCUAACCAGAAAGCCACGGCAAACUACGUGCCAGCAGCCGCGGUAAUACCUAGGUGGCAAGCGUUAUCCGGAAUUAUUGGGCGUAUGGCGCGCGCAGGUGGUUUC